UUUACACUAAGGUAUAAUGCAAUGCCCAAGCUUUUCAUAGAAUCAGGUACUUGGUCGUAGACGUAUUCUUGCAAUCCCACUAAGGCAAAUCCAUCUGCUAUUCCUAGGAUAAGGAACUUGAGCCUUCGAGUGGAUUUUUGUGAACAAGAUUCAGUCUCUUUCUCUCAAUCAAAGCUGCAACGAUCAUGAUAGAAACGGAGAAGAUCAUUCCAAUACCGAUCCUUUGGAGGAUACUAAUCCCUCUUUCAUUUCCUGUUGUCCAUCUCAGGAAAGGUACAAGGAUUUUGUCAUAGAAAGCAACAGAUAUUAUCAUGCCAACAGCUGUCAGGGCAUAAAUUGAGGCUGAGGGAAUCUCGAAAUUGUGAAUGAUCUUCCGGUUCAUUGUCACGCCUUGUUUUAAGAAAAAAGUUGCAGCUUGUGCUACGCAUAUACCAAACGGUAAAGUGGUUAGCCAAAUAGGUAUCAUGUUGAUAAUUAGCUUCAGUUCUUCCACAUUGGUGACAGUUGCAAGUUUCCACGGAU